GCCAAAGUAGCAUAGUGGUUUGAGUGUUGGACUACUACUCUGGUGACCAGUGUUCAAUUCCCUGCUUGGCCA